rnacentral:rRNA from 1 species
GACGAACGCUGGCGGCGUGCUUAACACAUGCAAGUCGAACGGAAAGGCCCUGCUUUUGUGGGGUGCUCGAGUGGCGAACGGGUGAGUAACACGUGAGUAACCUGCCCUUGACUUUGGGAUAACUUCAGGAAACUGGGGCUAAUACCGGAUAGGAGCUCCUGCCGCAUGGUGGGGGUUGGAAAGUUUCGGCGGUUGGGGAUGGACUCGCGGCUCAUCAGCGUGUUGGUGGGGUAGUGGCUUACCAAGGCUUUGACGGGUGGCCGGCUUGAGAGUGUGACCGGCCUCAUGGGGACUGAGGUACGACCCAGACUCCAACGGGAGGCAUCGAUGAAGGAUAUUGCACGAUGGGCGGAAGCCAUAUGCAGCAACGCAGCGUGCGGGAAGACGGCCUGCGGGUUAUAAGGCGCUUUCGCCUGUGACGGAGCGUGAGUGACGGUGAUGGGUAAAGAAGCACCGGCUAACUACGUG